UUGGCAGCCACCACUCCCCCCCUUCCUCACCCACGCACGAACUGAUGCUGUCUUUACUCACAGGGAAGAAAAGUGACUUACUUUUCGGAACAUCGCACAACAUCAGAUUAAUCAACCAGAUUAACUAGCUCUUAAUUUUUGUGAAAUUCAAACAUAUAGGUGGAGAUAAUGACAUGAACGGGUUGUGGUGAAGAGCUCAGUGACUUUCAACAGGGCGCUGUCAUAGGAUGCCACCUUUCCAACAAAAGAUGGAACUAAGAAAGGCGAGGUGGAGAAGAGGAAACGAGAACAGAGGAAUGCACUUGUGAAGAAUACCACAUCACUGGGUCAGACAUGGAGAGGCUGCAAAAGGGAGGGGCAAGGAAGGAGGGGGCAAGAUCAAUGGAUUAACAAAAGUGAGGUUAGCCCAGAAGAGGCCCUUCCUCUACCAAUCACACUACCCUUCUGUGACCACCAACCCCCCUCCCCCUACACACACACCACCGACCAAACCCACACUCUCAAUGGGAGAAACCUGUGGAAGUCCACCAACACUAAAAUUGAACUAUGUUAAAUGUUGAUGGCUUAACGCUUAAUAUCAAUGUCGUCCAAACACCAGUUUAAUUUUUGAAAACUGCAAAUGACAGAAUCAAUUAUGAUUACAUACAAGUGGACCACUUGUAUGUAAAAUAAGAGGAAAUAAGAGCUUCGACCUGACUGCGAAUGAGGAAAGGUAGGUAAGAGGGAUUUACGGUCAUAUUUAACCAUAUAUAUUAAUUAAAAAACGAUUCCAGAUGUAGCGUAGCUGCGCCUAAUCACGUGACUUUUUCAGGAUUUGUGCCUCUAGAAAUGCAAUGGCAAAGAAAAUGAAGCCACAGGCAGAGGUGGGUAACCCGGCUUCAAAGAGUAAAAAGACUGACUAUGUAUUUUCUCCACCACCAUGCGCUAAACCAGCUGAUUCUAAUUAGCAUGACUCUUCAGCAUGAUAGGAGAACUAAUUCUUGUAAUCAGCUGUAAUAGUGUAUAUUGUAAUAGUGCAUGUUGAUGGAGAAAAUACAUGGUCAGUCUUUUUACUCUUUGAAGCCGGGUUACCCACCUCUGGUCACAGGUGGAGUCGUGUGCCCCCGUUUUGAAAUGUGACUUACUGGCCAUCAAAAUCGAUUACUGAAUUUAUACAUUUUCUUUGUGUUUUUCACUUGAACAGUCUUUGGUCUCAAUCUCGCUAUUCCGUGAGCCAAAACUCGUGCAAACUCGGGUUAAUUAAUCAAACUAAAUUGUGACGUUUUUCACCGCAAAAAGAAAAAAGUUUGAACUAUUAUGAAUUAUUACCUGUACAAAAUGACCUGUGACCUGUUAUAAUUAUAGGCUAUUUUGGUGUUUUUAUGCGGAACUAUUUGAGGGAUGGGUAAACUUACUUGAACGAACGUUGAUUAACAUUAAGAUUGCGUGAUCUUGAGAUUUACACAGCUCAUAACAUCUUAUGAGUUAGCUAAAUCAAUCACCAUGACAUUCACAGAUUGAAAGUUUAAUGUUUCCUGUUUAAAAAGAGCUUAGGUUUUUGAAUGGUGUCCUAUUACUUAGAGAAGAGGGGCUUGCUGUCUCCAUAUCACAUGGGUUUAGGAAGGGAAGGGGAACAGUGGACCCUUUACUUUGCCUGGUGUCUGAGGUGAAGAAAGCUCAGGUGAAUAAAGAGGUGGUUGCAGCUGUGUUUUUUGUUUGUGUGGAGAAGGCCUAUGACAUAUGAUGUAGAAUAAACCUUUGGGGGAGGGAGGUAUAACUUGUUUUUCUGUUCAGUAGAUCUAUACAGGUGAGGGUGGGUUGUACAUUCUCUGAACAGUUUUUUAUUAUUAAGCCACAAGGGUACAGUCAUUACCCCUUUGUGAGACGGCUAGGUAGCGUCCAGGCUCAUGCGCUGCAGGUGAAGAUGGGGGAGAUGCCUCUCUGGCUUACAUGCACUUCUUGUGGGUGGGCCUGACAUUGCAUACAACCCUGUGCAACCAAGGCAUGGACUGUCACCAUUUUAGUGGUUGCCAUUGUUAAGGGCACAACUGUGCAGAGAAGGCUGUUGAUGCUCAAAAGGUUCAAAUCCUGCAUAGUGUACCUUUAAGGGAGAAUCAUGUAAAUAAAGGGUGGCGA